rnacentral:rRNA from 1 species
CACGUAGGGCGCAAGCGUUGUCCGGAAUUAUUGGGCGUAAAGAGCUCGUAGGCGGUCUGUUGCGUCCGCUGUGAAAACUUGGGGCUUAACCCCGAGCCUGCAGUGGAUACGGGCAGACUAGAGGUAGGUAGGGGAGAAUGGAAUUCCCGGUGUAGCGGUGAAAUGCGCAGAUAUCAGGAAGAACACCCGUGGCGAAGGCGGCUCUCUGGGACGGUACUGACGCUGAGACGCGAAAGCGUGGGGAGCGAACAGG